CAUGGUGGCAUCUUAGAGGAUCAAGUAUCUCAAAAUCGUAUUGUCCCGACAUCGUCUCGGGCCCGAGACGAUGACGACGCGGCUGAGUCUUUGAACCAUGCUUAAGUAUGAUUCAGAAUUCUGGAUUACCCAGUGCUGCAAGGGUGGCUAGGCCAUUUGAGGGUCGUUGCUUUGAUGGAACCGGAGUUGUUGUUUGGACACGUAGAAAUCAAGAAGGGUUAAUGCAAUAGUCGAAUUCUGAUCUGCCCUGUUGCAAGCCCGAUCGAUAGCUUGGUUCUUUUGCUUAGAAGAAAAUGGUAGCACGAAGUCUCGUCUUACACUAUAGAAAGGUUGAAUUCCAAGCUCUCGAACAAAAUAGUUGAUAGAGAGCAUAUUCUUGAUUUUAUCUUGAUCCAAUCUUUCAAUUUUCCUUUUUCCUACUGAAACUGUCAGCAUCAUGUAAUUUUCUCUAGACAAGUCAGAAGACUUGACUACUAACGUUAACAGAAAACAAAUGAUUAUACUGAUUAUCUUUAGUAACUUAUAAAAUGCAGAGAAUACAUAUUAGUUGACUUGGUUU